CCUACGGGAGGCAGCAGUGGGGAAUUUUGGACAAUGGGCGAAAGCCUGAUCCAGCAAUGCCGCGUGCAGGAUGAAGGCCUUCGGGUUGUAAACUGCUUUUGUACGGAACGAAACGGUUCGCCUUAAUACGGUGGGCUAAUGACGGUACCGUAAGAAUAAGCACCGGCUAACUACGUGCCAGCAGCCGCGGUAAUACGUAGGGUGCGAGCGUUAAUCGGAAUUACUGGGCGUAAAGCGUGCGCAGGCGGUUAUAUAAGACAGAUGUGAAAUCCCCGGGCUCAACCUGGGACCUGCAUUUGUGACUGUAUAGCUAGAGUACGGUAGAGGGGGAUGGAAUUCCGCGUGUAGCAGUGAAAUGCGUAGAUAUGCGGAGGAACACCGAUGGCGAAGGCAAUCCCCUGGACCUGUACUGACGCUCAUGCACGAAAGCGUGGGGAGCAAACAGGAUUAGAUACCCUGGUAGUCCACGCCCUAAACGAUGUCAACUGGUUGUUGGGUCUUCACUGACUCAGUAACGAAGCUAACGCGUGAAGUUGACCGCCUGGGGAGUACGGCCGCAAGGUUGAAACUCAAAUGAAUUGACGGCUGAGACGUAGCCGACGGACGACGACGAGGGAGGAGGG
rnacentral:rRNA from 1 species